AGAGUCGAUCGGACAGUCGCUGUAUCGGAUGGGUCUUGGAAUCGUACAGGAUUUAAUGCCGUACAGAGGAAAGUCCGGGCUCCAUAGGGCGAAGUGCCAGGUAAUUCCUGGGGGAUGUGAAUCUACGGAAAGUGCCACAGAAAACAUACCGCCUACCAUUUGCUAUCCUCUUGGUGAGGAUAGCCAGGUGGGUAAGGGUGAAAAGGUGCGGUAAGAGCGCACCGCACCUCGGGCAAUCGAGGUGGCAGGGCAAACCCCACUUGGAGCAAGACCAAAUAGGGGAGCCGGUCUAUGCUUUUAAUGCAUGUGACCAAACGUGGCUCGCGUUGCUCCCGGGUAGGUCGCUAGAGGUAUGUGGUGACACAUAUCCAAGAUGGAUGACUGUUCUCGACAGAACCCGGCUUAUAGAUCGACUCUUGUG
rnacentral:RNase_P_RNA from 1 species